rnacentral:rRNA from 1 species
CCUACGGGUGGCAGCAGUGAGGAAUAUUGGUCAAUGGACGAGAGUCUGAACCAGCCAAGUAGCGUGAAGGAUGACUGCCCUAUGGGUUGUAAACUUCUUUUAUAUGGGGAUAAAACGUUCCACGUGUGGGAUUUUGUAUGUACCAUAUGAAUAAGGAUCGGCUAACUCCGUGCCAGCAGCCGCGGUAAUACGGAGGAUCCGAGCGUUAUCCGGAUUUAUUGGGUUUAAAGGGAGCGUAGGUGGAUUGUUAAGUCAGUUGUGAAAGUUUGCGGCUCAACCGUAAAACUGCAGUUGAAACUGGCAGUCUUGAGUACAGUAGAGGUGGGCGGAAUUCGUGGUGUAGCGGUGAAAUGCUUAGAUAUCACGAAGAACUCCGAUUGCGAAGGCAGUUCACUGGACUGCAACUGACACUGAGGCUCGAAAGUGUGGGUAUCAAACAGGAUUAGAUACCCCAGUAGUC